AAAUUGAAGAGUUUGAUCAUGGCUCAGAUUGAACGCUGGCGGCAGGCCUAACACAUGCAAGUCGAACGGUAACAGGAAUCAGCUUGCUGAUUUGCUGACGAGUGGCGGACGGGUGAGU
rnacentral:rRNA from 1 species